GAUGAAGAACGCAGCGAAAUGCGAUAAGUAAUGUGAAUUGCAGAAUUCAGUGAAUCAUCGAAUCUUUGAACGCACAUUGCGCCCGCCAGUAUUCUGGCGGACAUGCCUGUUCGAGCGUCAUUUCAACCAUCAAGCCCCAGGCUUGUGUUGGGGACCUGCGGCUGCCGCAGGCCCUGAAAACCAGUGGCGGGCUCGCUGUCACACCGGGCGUAGUAGAUUUUAUCUCGCUCAGGGCGUGCUGCGGGUUCCGGCCGUUAAAAAGCCUUUUUUACCCAAGGUUGACCUCGGAUCAGGUAGGAAGACCCGCUGAACUUAAGCAUAUCAAUAAGCGGAGGA
rnacentral:misc_RNA from 1 species